rnacentral:lncRNA from 1 species
UCUCUUUAUGUCCAAAGAGUUGGACGUCCAUCUGACAAAGAUCCAAGGUGUGGUGAUGCUUGGAACAGGAAGGCUGCAGGACAUCUUCGACAGGCUGCUGCUCCAACUUUAGAAGGAGUUCUGAAGCACUUUCAAAUUAGAUAUAGAUCUGAUUUUUGGAGCAUAGAUUCAUGAUGGGAAGACAUUCCAAGUCUUGCCCAAGUGGAUACCAGUAG